rnacentral:rRNA from 1 species
GUAGGGAAUAUUGCGCAAUGGACGAAAGUCUGACGCAGCGACGCCGCGUGAGUGAUGAAGGCCUUAGGGUCGUAAAGCUCUGUUGAAUGGGAAGAAAAAAAUGACGGUACCAUUCGAGGAAGGACCGGCUAACUUCGUGCCAGCAGCCGCGGUAAUACGAGGGGUCCUAGCGUUGUUCGGAAUCAUUGGGCGUAAAGGGUGUGUAGGUGGCCAUGUAAGGCAGGUGUGAAAGCCCCGGGCUCAACCCGGGAAGUGCACUUGAUACUGCGUGGCUUGAGUACCGAAGAGGGUAGUGGAAUUCCAGGUGUAGUGGUGAAAUACGUAGAUAUCUGGAGGAACACCGGUGGCGAAGGCGGCUACCUGGUCGAGUACUGACACUGAGACACGAAAGCAUGGGGAUCAAACAGGAUUAGAUACCCCAGUAGUCC